ensembl:lncRNA
AGCCUUUAAGACAGGGGUCUCAAACUCGAUCAAUAGGAAAUGAGUACUCGCUCGCUUGCUAGACCUUCAUUCGGCGCCAAAAUACGGCGAAAAAAUUUAUGUUUUGUCGUAAUUAUAGUCAAACGUUUUUUGCAGUGGUUGUGGCCAGAGACUUGGAGAAAGUCUGGAACCUUUAGAGUACCAACUUCAGAUUAAUCUUAAUGAUGACAGAAGGGUGUUUUAAAGCCAGUACGUGGGAAAACCAUUCGCUUAUCAACUGACUGACGUCACCGCUCAAAGUCUUCCAAGAAAAUGAGGGACUUUAACCAAGACCUGGAUGAAGGACCCUCCAUCAUUCUGUAUCCAGAUGAAUCUGAAGUCAUCAAUAUCCCUGGGACACAAAGACCUUUUAUUCUAGAAGAAUAUAAAGCAGAAUUAGGCAAACCAUAUUCAAGGAUCACAAUUUUUAUCUGCCCAAAGAAGGACUUUGAAGAAGAUAAGUUGUCAUGUUUUGCCAUAGCCAUUUAUUUAUGUGGCUAAAUGUUUCACUUUUGUCUCAAUGCUGAGAGAUAAAUACAUAAAUAAGUUUAAAAAUAGUUCCCCAUGGUGUUUUCUGCAUUCAUCUUAAAAUUACUGCAAGGAGUUGCAAGUUGGAGUUGAACGUUUUCCCCUCAUAGUCAGACCAUGUGCCAAAACCAACUGUUUCUGGUGCAGUGUCUCAAACCAGCUUCCCAUUCAUCACCAUCUUCUGGAGUUAACUUCUUUUUAAAUGUUUGUCUUUGAAUGACACCAAUCAAGCGACCUUUAAUUGUUUCUUUUUUGCAGUUUUUGCAGUUGGAGAAGUGUCAUUUCUGACUCUGACACAGAGAUUGUCAUAAAAAGACCCCUCACAACGUAGGACCUAGCUAACACGCUACCAUGUGAACCUGCCCAAUACAGACGAAUACAGAGGAUAUUCGUCCAAGUACCUCCAGAUGUCCUGGAAUGCAACUACACAGACCGGUAUGCACCUAUUGUCAUUGAUAACGACUACGAUGAUGACGAAGAUGAAGUUCUAACUGUCAAAGAAAAUAAUGAGGCAUCUUCUAAAGAACCAAUGUGAGUCAUGAGUGCUAUAUUAUUAUCCAUCAUUCUGUCUUACGCGUAGAGUACGAGUAGUCAUUAAACAAAUAAACAUCACUGUAUUAAGAAGGGUCAAAUGACCAUUUCAAAAACUAGGUCCAGAGAGAUCCAAAGAGUUGUCUUUUUGUAAGGAACUGGAUGUAUUAAAUGUAGCCUAUUGUUUUAUUAACUGCCUACUGUCCUAAGGAGUCAAAAGUGUUAUGGGUACAAUUCAUGAAUAUUGAAUGAAAGGAAGGCUUGAUCCCAUUUGUGUUCAUCUAAUAGGCUAUACAAUUCUGCUUAGAGCAUGUUUUUUUACACACAAUGUAACUUUUUGUUCUAGGCAUACAAGUGCCAAGUCAUUUUGUUAAUAUUUAAUUGGUCUAUGUUUGAUACGUAAUGUAGAUGAUUACUGGCAUAACCUCUAAGACGACCUAAAGAGUCACGUGUGUGGAAGUUGUUGGUUUAUUUAUUUAUCAUAGACUUUAUUGCCCCGUGCAUCGCCACUGCUGCUUUUCGUCUGUGUGUCCUUGCGUCUCUCUGAAAAUGCAGAAGCAUAAACUAGGCUUCAGAGUUGAGCGCGUGCACCACCACAGUAUGAAGGCAGCAUGAAUGGAGCCAUGAUACUGCGAUUUACCAACAACUACAAACAAUCGGUCGGCAUACUUCACCCCUAUUGAGCUGGAAAUAUUAAUGCAAACGUACAAGUAUGAACCCGUAAUUAGAAUAACAUUUUGCAGCAAAAGACAGAGAAACGGCGUGGGAGAAACUUGCUGUAACAUUUAUAUUUUGACAUUUA